GAGGCCACCCGGGAUCAGGCGGGGUCUUCUGUGAGGAAUCCACCCGAGCGGCGAGCUGAGGGAGUGCGCGCCAGAGAGCAGCGCGGGAGCGCAGAACCGGCCCCGGUGCCCGCUCUGCUUGGCGGGGGGAGGAGGGGGAACACCACUCCUGCCGCUGUCUCCUGGGGCGUCGCGUGUUCUCCCUACAGCACCGGGGCCAGCACCACGGGCCAAGGGUCUGGCUGUGCCGAGGGGUCGUGACGGCCGAUGCCCCCGCGCUGUGGCUCUCCGGGGAGCCGAGAUGGACGCGGGCGAACGCCGAGGGGGCAGCGCGGAGCACGGCGCCGGUCAGUGCCCGGGGACCGGGCGGGAGCCGGCGGCGGGCCCUCGGUGUACGGCGUGUGCGGGAACUGGCCCCGGCGGGACGGAGCUCCACAGCCCCGAGUCCAGCGGCGGCUCGGCCGCCGUCAAAGCCAACAGUGAGCAGCUGAAUUGGAGGCAGUCUCACAGAGAUCUGAUGAUGAUGAUCCAAGAAAUGAAAAGGUGUUUGCCUGAAGAGAAAAGGAAUUCCAGCAAGCCCAGCACUAUCAGUGCUCUCAACUACGCCUUACAGUGUGUUCAGCAGGUCCAAGCAAACAAUGACUUUUUCCAGGCUCUGAAUGACCGAAGAGUGUUUCAGACCGAUGUGGUGACAUACAGCAUAGAAGAGCUGGUGGCAGUUGCAUCUGAACACACUCCAAAAAACACUGACACAUUUGUGGCUGUAUUUUCUUUGCUUUCUGGACGCAUAGUGCAUAUUUCUGAGCAGGCAGCAUCUAUCCUAAACUACAAGAAGAAAGUGUUGGAGUCUUCCCGGUUUGUAGAGUUGCUUGUCCCUCAGGAUGUGAGUGUGUUCUACACACACACUGAUCACUCUCACCUGCCGCUUUGGAACAUGGAAAGUGAAACAGCUUCUCUGUAUGAAUAUGCCCAGGUGAAAUCCUUUUUCUGCAGGAUCAGGGGUGGUAAAGAUCAAGAGCAAGAAACACGUUGUUACCCCUUCCGAAUCACCCCAUACUUAGUCCAUGUGUGUACUUCUGUCCAUGUGGAUGCAGAGUCCUGCUGCUUAGCUUUGGCUGAGAAAAUUCACUCCGGAUAUGAAGCUCCUCGAAUUCCUAUGGAUAAAAGAAUCUUCACCACCACUCACACCCCUGGAUGUGUUUUUCUGGACAUAGAUGACAGAGCAGUGCCUUUGUUGGGUUACUUACCCCAAGAUUUAAUUGGAACAUCCAUACUGAUGUAUUUGCACCCAGAAGAUCGUCCUUUGAUGAUUACUAUUCACCGGAAAAUACUGAAAUUUGCUGGCCAACCCCCUUUUGAACAUUUACCUAUUAGAUUCUGUACUCAAAAUGGGGAUUAUGUUAUACUGGAUACCAGCUGGUCCAGUUUUGUGAAUCCUUGGAGCAGGAAAGUAGUGUUCAUCAUUGGCCGACACAAAGUCCGGACAAGCCCUCUGAAUGAAGAUGUCUUUGCUGCAAGAAGUAAAGAAACGAGCAGUGUGGAGAAAGAGAUAAGAGAAUUGCAAGGACAAAUUUACAAACUGCUUCUGCAGCCAGUUCACAGCAAUGUUUCCAGUGGUUAUGGAAGCCUUGGAAGCAGUGGCUCUUAUGAGCACUAUAUCAGCAUAGCUUCUUCAAGUGACUCCAAUGGGAAUUGUGCAGAGGAAAUACAGGAACCAAUGACAUUGCAACAAGUUUGUGCAGAUGUCAACCGAAUAAAGAAUCUGGGACAGCAGCUGUAUAUUGCAUCAAGGAGCAAGCCACAGAAUGGAAAUGAACAGGCUGUGAGCUCAGAAGUGCUAGGAGGGAAGAGGCACACUACUUCCUGUUUCCUUCAGACAUUGAGAAGUGAUAGCACAGAAAAAACAGGCAACACAUUUUAUGAUGAUCCAAAGAAGACUCCGCAUAUUCCUUCCUAUCAGCAGAUCAAUUGUGUCGAUAGUAUCAUCAGAUAUCUAGAGAGCUGCAGUAUUCCAGCAUUGAAAAGGAAAUGUAAAUCUUCUGCAAAUACAUCAUCAUCAUCUUCAGAAGAUGACAAACAAGUCCAGAAAAGUGAGCAGGAAGUCCAGUCACUGGAAGAUGCUGCUAUGUUGUCAGCAGUUAAGUCCCACACUCCAAUAUCUGCUGGUCUGGAAGAGGCCUUGAAAGACCAGAGAACUGCAGGCAUGGUGGGAGCUCCUCUGGCAGACCUGACCCUGUCCAACAAGGCUCCAAGUGUGGUGUCUGCCACCAGCCAGUGCAGCUACAGCAGCACUAUAGUGCAUGUCCCACACCCUGAAUCAGAAGUGACUACAAUGGAGGAUACUGCUGUUGGAAGUGAACAAAUUGAACUGCCUCCUGUAAAUGCUCAGAGUCCUUCUAUGUUGCCUGAGGACUUAAAGCCAGUUGGGCUAACAAAAGAGACGUUGUCAGCCCACACUCAAAAGGAGGAACAGAACUAUGUUGACAAAUUCCGACAGAGGAUCUUGCUUUCUCCAUUUAGGACUUACUUUCAACAAAGAAGCAGAAGUAACAACAGACAUUCCUGUGGCCAAGGAGAUUCCCCUUCAAAGCAGAUGAGCCCAGCUAGCUGUAAAAAAGGCAGACAUGGACAAUUCAAGCGCCAGAAACCUCAGAGACAUUCCUCAGAUAGCCAGUCUUCUAGUAAAAAUAGAAAUAACCUUCCAUGUGAGAAGAGAGCAAUUCAGAAACAGUUGUUCUCUCCCUCAGAAGUGUCCUCUCUGAGCUCCUCCAGUUUGAAUGUCCAUUCUCCUGUGGGGUUUCCUGUCUAUUUGGAUCCACUCUCUAGUUGUCCGGCCUCUUCUACAGGAGAGGAACUUGCCCUUCACUCAUUACAACCUGAGUCCUUGUCAUCAUCACAACUACGCUGUGAAGCACAGUCAUGCCCAGCCCUUUAUCCCCCAAACAUAGGCACAUUUAUGGCUGUAUUUUUUCAGAGUUUCCCCACGUAUGUUCAGAUGCCUCAAAAUGUCUUUCUUCCUAACCCUCAGUGCGUUUAUCCCCCCUCUUCAUAUCCAUGCACUGCACUACCUCCAGCCCCCCCUCCUUGUGCACCAUCACCACUAGCACCACACUCGGUGGAUCAGUCCUUUCCAGCCUCUUUUCACACUUCCAGGGAGGACCAGCAAGAGGGCCAGUGUGACCAGGCCCUCCUGCUGAGCAGCUCACGGAGCAGCUCCCCACUUCAGCUGAAUUUGCUUCAAGAAGAGCUGCCAAAGCCCAUGGAACUUUCCAUUAGUGCUGAUGUUAAACCACAUACAGAAGAUAAAUGUGAUAAUGAUCCAGAAGAUAGUGAUAACAGUGCUUCUCAUGAAUUUCCUGACCACAGUCUAUACGAGGACUCCCAGUUGGGUUCAGGUGCAGCAGCAUCAGGCAGUGGAUCAGCUUUGUCUGGUUCUUUAGGCUCUAGCUUCAAUGAGUCUUCUGGUUGUGGCACAGCAGGUAGUGGGAAAAGCAGAAAGUAUUUUGCCGGUAAUUGUUCUUCUGAAACUUCCAAAGAAGAGAGAAAUCAGGAAGCAGAAGAAAAAGGGACAGCUUAUAAAUCGAAACAUGAGUCAGCCUGGGUGAUGAUGGAUCAUACACCUGAGCGAGUUCUAAUGAAUUACCAAAUGCCAAACAGGUGUCUGUUACCUGCAGAAUUAAAGAGGAAGUUUUAAAGCAGGAUCUGGAGAAGCUGGCAGUCAUGCGAAAGCAGCAGCCUUGGUUUACAGAUGGGCAAAAGCAGGAGCUUGCAGAGGUGCAUACGUGGAUCCGUACCCAGACUGUCCCGCUGCAAAUCAGCACCCAGGGCUGUGUUACAUGUGACAACAGGGAAGCAAGUUGUGAGGCUGUACUGGCUGAUGGCAAUAUGGAAAACAAGGGAAAACCACCUCCACUCCUGCAACACUGAGGGCAUCAGCACCUAUGUCAGUAAAACUGCUCGGUGUCAUUCCCAUUUUCUUUUCCUCUGGCUUUGCUCCACACUAGCAGUGAAUCUACAUGGCCAUCUCUUACCAACAUGAGCAGUCACACAUAUGAAACUUAAUCUUCCUCCAUUACCCUUCUGAUCCAGACAUGACUCUGAAGACAAUCUUUCACUGGGAGAACAAUUUCACUUUCUGACCUCAUAGACUUGACACAGAAUGGAAUAUGUUUCUAACCUUUAACUGCUCAGUGAUGAGCAAAAUACAAAGAUUUUUUGGUUUGGGUGUUUGGUUUUUUGAACUUGGCAAGUAAGAGUCUGAAAAGAUGCAGUGUUUAAGAACCUAUGGUAAUGAACCUAACUGAUCAGAACACAUUUACUCUCCAGGCAAGGUGGAUACAUUGAAACCAAGCUACAGCAGAGCACUCUUCAUUUUUGUUCAAUAUUUAUAAGUCUAAACUGAAGAUCCUAAUACUCUGAGGUUCUGAAAUCACUGUAGCUGAGAAUUCAGUAGGCUUUUUAAAGAGCAGUUGAAAUUGACCAGGUUAUUCUGCAUCAAAUGCCUUUUGCCAGCUUGUGCCCAUUGGAAAAAAAUAAACUGAAGAGAAAAGAAGCAAAGAUUUUCCCUGUGUUUAUUGUGAUGAGUGUUUUGGAGCCAAGUUGUUUCACAGCUUUUGAUUUUAAAGUUGUGUUUAUUGACACAGGUAUGUAAAAUUAAUUGAGGGUAACUGGUUUGAAAAUCCACUAGAGAUUAAACUACAUAGAGCAGCCAAAAAAAAAAAAAAAAAACCAAACCCAGAAAUAUCAAUGUAGUAGUUAUUUCUUUCUACAGGAUCUGCUUUUUAAAAACAGACAAGGGGGAAAGUCUUCUCUAUCAAGGCAAGUAGUUAUCAAUUAAAGUAGUUAUAUGCAAUCUUUUAUGUUGCUAGUGCUCUGGAAGGUGUUUUUGUAUCUUAAUGUUUUUGUUGUUGAUUUAGAGGGGUUGAGUUGAAUACAGACGUAGCAAAUAGGAAAUUUUAAGCAGUUUCUCUGUUUUGCUUUUGUUGUGAUGAUGCCAAAACCAAAAAGAGUAUGAGGUUCGUUUCUUCUGCUUUUGUGAAAAGUCACAUGUUGUGGAGCUGAACUUGAACAUCAAACCACAUAUUCAUUAUUUCUUAGCACUUUUGACUUCCUGUACAAGUUUUAACCUCUCUCUUUAUAAUGGAGUCAUGGCAGUUUAAGUCCAUGGAUGAAAAAGGAGUUUGUGCAUAAUGUGAAUUUGAUGUUCAGAACGUGGUAACCACUUUCAGUACAUGAAAGGACUUGUUCUCAUGGAUGUCUCAAAGUGCUCUUCAGACACUACAAUCCUGCAGAUUUUGUCUGAUUUCUCCUUUGUUUGUCAAAAGCUGGAUGUAAUCGGAUUUUCCGUGUGGUGUUAUUAAUCACCUUAGCCUUCUCAACAGAAUUUUAGAAUGUAACACAUUAUUAUCCUUUUUUUUCUGGGUAAUUCUUCCCUUCCUACUUUGUGAAGUAUUUUCAUUUCUCUAGUUGUAGUUACUAGUGAACUUCAGGUUGUUGAGUUAAAAAUACUGUGACCUGCAGGUCAUUGAAGGAAAACUAUUUAUCUGAAGGUUUCUGUUACUUUUAAAAAUCAAUCCUUUGUGACAAUCUUUCUUAUUAAAUUUUAUUUUAAGGAAAGUUAUUUUUGCACAACUCGAAGUUUUCAAGGCUAAUUUGACUCAGGCAGUGUUCUAUUGAUUUUUUUUAAUUUUUUUUUACAGUAUGUUUGCCUGCUCUGUUUAUACCCCUUGGUUUCUACUUAUUCUUAAACUGCGUUUCUUUGUCUUUCAGCUUUUUCCACUUAAACUUGUUUUUUUCUUGUGUUGUAAAUCAGCAGAGGUCCACACAUCCUCAGUACUGCUUGUGUUCAAACAUGUCUUAAAAUAAGAAACUUCAGUAGGUGUUUACAUAUAGCAGCUUAUGUUACACCUUUCCUAGUCCUUUUAGAGCAUUUUCCAAAUAUGGUAUUCUGCUUAAUAAUCACACUGCCUAAAAUACUCGCUCUAAAGCAUGUAAUAAGAUGCUUUGUGUAAAGGUUUUUUCUUGAUUGGGAAUCUUCUUAAAUAAUUUAUCCAUCAAAUCAGACUUAUACACUAGAAGCUAUUCUAGUUAUCUGUGCUUAAAUUAAAAUGAUUGCUUUAAUGUAUUUUGAGAUGUAGUGAAAUAGAUUAAUUUGAAUACUUCAGGUAAGGACAGCUGUCUCCUUCAAAAUAGUUUUGAGCCCUAAGCCAGAAGAAAAGAUAAUAGCCAACUCUUUUGUGUACAUUGUUUUCACUGUUUAUUUCCCAAGUGUGAAAAUGAGAUGAUUUGCAAUGUCUUAGCCGGCAGACAUGUCAUCCAUUUUGUAAAACAGUGGGACUUAGUUUAGGAGAAUGGUAAUAUAUACCCAACACUUGAAUAAUGCUUUUCAUCCAUAGGUCUGUAAACAUGUCAAAAAGAUGACUUCUUAUAAAAAGAGGCAGAGAGACAAAGGACUUGUGCAGGUACAUACCCCCAGUUUAUAUGAAAUCCAGGAGUAAAAUCUGUGAAUCUUCACUUGCUGUAUCCCGUACUGGUUUUGCUACAAGAGGUCAAGAUUCUGAGCUCUAUGUAGAAAGUUGAUGAUACUACAUGGGUUUCUUGUUUGGAGGUGUUAAACCUUCUUGUACCCCUAUGACUGUGAAUUUGUGUGUGCCCAGUAGAAUUAUCGAGCAUCAGAAAGCCCAGAGAGUUUUUGAAGUGCUGCGAGUGCCAUAUACCCUCUGGCUGUAUAUAAUGAAAAUGCAUGUGGCUAGGACUUUGAAUUCAGAGUUUGUAAUCCUGGCUAAGUCUUAGGAGCAGGAUCUCUUGUAUGGGGCUACAUUAGACCUGGGUUAUGGAGAAAAUUUUGAUUUCGGAGAAGAAUAUAAGAGGAAUGAAGAGGUGAAUGCCUUAUCAAGACUGGUAGUUUUUACUUCAGGUUUUACUAAUCUUUAGUCUUUUUGGUGUGCUGGAGUGGUCAAAGUGAGUUGCAGUUCCAAUCUGAAAGACCAGUGAAGCAAGUGUUUCAGCCAUGUUAUUUUGUUCCUGUGACUUUGUUUUGCCUGGCAAAAUGUUGAGGACAGUUUAGAGCUGCUUGGAAGGUCAUUUUUUUGGUGAUGAAAAGAAAAAUAUGCAAGGACAGUACUGAUGCAGUUACUACCCCCUGUGGGGGCAUCAGCAGUUUAGAAACCCCUGGUGGAUUUUGCUGGCAAUUUUUUUUUGUUGUAUUCACAAAUACAGAAUUAUGUUUUAAAAGAUGAGUUGAUAUGCGAAUAUUUUCAUGGUAUUGCUAUGAACAGAAGGGACCCUUGUGUAUUUUUACAGUGUGGUAAAUAUUUGCUGAAUGAGUCGUGUUGGUAAGUUUAUCUUCCAGCUGAAUAGAGUUUUAAAUCACAAUUUUUACAUCAGUUGGUAGGGGUAUUCUAUUGAAAUAAUAUUCAACAGUGGUUGAAUUUAAAGUUGUGAUUUUAACUGUACACUUUAAAGGAGCAUCUGAUUUUAUAAAUAAAACUGAAAAAUGUGCUGCAAAGAA